rnacentral:pre_miRNA from 1 species
CAAAUACUCCCUCCGUCAGGAAAUACUUGUCAUCAAAAUGGAUAAAAGGAAAUGUAUCUAGACAUAUUUUAGUUUUAGAUACAUCUCUUUUUAUCCAUUUUGAUGACAAGUAUUUUCGGACGGAGGGAGUAGAAA